GACGAACGCUGGCGGCGUGCUUAACACAUGCAAGUCGAACGGAAAGGCCCUGCUUGCAGGGUACUCGAGUGGCGAACGGGUGAGUAACACGUGGGUGAUCUGCCCUGCACUUCGGGAUAAGCCUGGGAAACUGUGUCUAAUACCGGAUAGGAGCCAUUUUUAGUGUGAUGGUUGGAAAGUUUUUUCGGUGUAGGAUGAGCUCGCGGCCUAUCAGCUUGUUGGUGGGGUAAUGGCCUACCAAGGCGGCGGCGGGUAGCCGGCCUGAGAGGGUGGACGGCCAAAUUGGGGCUGGGAUACGGCCCAGACUCCUACGGGAGGCAGCAGGGGGGAAUAUUGCAAAAUGGGGGGGAGCCUGAUGCAGCGAAGCCGCGUGGGGGAUGACGGCCUUCGGGUUGUAAACUCGUUUCGCUAGGGACGAAGCUUUUUGUGACGGUAACUAGAUAAGAAGCACCGGCUAACUACGUG
rnacentral:rRNA from 1 species